rnacentral:rRNA from 1 species
UUUUAAACAUGUUCUUUAAAUUUAUAUUAAAGAUUGGCCCUGCUCAAUGAAAAUUUUUAAAUAGCCGCGGUAAUUUAACUGUGCUAAGGUAGCAUAAUAAUUAGUCUUUUAAUUGAGGUCUGGAAUGAAUGGGUUGACAAGGAAAUAACUUUAUUUUAUUAAAUUUUCUUAAUUUAAUUUUUUAGUUAAAAAGCUUAAAUUUUUAAAGGGGACGAUAAGACCCUAUAGAUCUUAAUUUUUCUUUUUUUUUAGUAUUUUGUUAAUUUUAUUAUUUUAUUAAAAUUGAAAAAUUUAGUUGGGGUGAUUGUUAAAAAUUUUAACUUUUAUAUUUUUUUACUUUAAUUUUUGUAUUUUUUGAUCCUUUUUUUUAGAUUAAUAGAUUUAGAUACCUUAGGGAUAACAGCGUUAUAUAUUUGGAGAGUUCAAAUUGAUAAAUAUGUUUGCGACCUCGAUGUUGGAUUAAAAUUAAUUGUGGGGUAGGUUUUACAAUGUUAGGUCUGUUCGACCUUUAAAAUUUUACAUGAUCGUUU